rnacentral:lncRNA from 1 species
GGAGGUGACACUAACCGGAACACACAGAAGAGCAGUGGAUGGGGCGGGCAGAGGCCAGGCUGCAGCCUCAGAAACACAGCAGUGUCCUCAUAUUUAUGAAACAGAACCAUGGUGGUGAUUGGGUGUGCAACCAACUCGCAAUUUUGGGUCAUUCAGUAUUUUUAAACAAUAAUAACUUUAGCAGUAAUUCUAGGAGACUAGAGGAAUUAAAAUUAGGAAAGCUAUACUUUAAAACAUUUGAAUAAGUCACUCGUAAAAUUUAAAAGCAAUUGAAAACAUGACAUCUAUACUCUAAUUCACAAUAGAGUUAAAAGGGAGUUUACCAUUUUCCUGAGUGCAACUGGUUUGUGUUUGGUUUGCACACUGACACUUGUUUUUAUUACGAGACCCGGUAAGAAAUAAUGAAAUACCUGUUAGGAAUUUUAACACUGUGAAAGCAAGGUAGAUAACACAAUUUAGUGAAUUCAACAGAUUAAAAAAUGCGUAGUUUAGUUUAUCAAGGUGCAAGUUGUCCAAGACUAACUCAGCAUUCAACAUUGUAACCAGUAGGUAGGUGGGGAAUGAGUUUGAGUGUGUGUGUGUUUGUGUGUGUGUGUGUUAAACAUUUUUUUAAGCAUAAUAUUUAAUGUGGUGGGAACGAUUUACCAGACCUUUACAGAACAGAUAGUUCCUAUCUUACUAAAAAAAAUUCCUUUGAAAAUAAAUUUAAAAAGAUAAUUUAUACACAGGAAAAUGCACUAAUGUGAAUUAUAUAGUUUGAUGAACUUUUUGUAUAUGUAAACACUUAUAUAUUCACCACCCCAGAGAGUUUCCUCAUAUACCUUUAUUGUUAAAACCUCUUUCCAGUCCAGUCCAAAGUUAUCACUAUUUUGAUUUCUAUCACCGUAGGUUAAUUUUGCCUUUACUUGAACUUCAUAACAAUGGAAUCACUCAGUUUGCACCGUUUUGAGUCUGAUUUUUCCUCAAUUUGAUGCUGUCAAGAUUCACUCAUUGCUGCGAGUAUCAGUGAUGUUCUUUUUUAUUGCUGUGUGUUAAUUCAUUCUUUUGAAAUUUAUGUAUCCAUUCUCGUGCUGAAAUGCUGGGCUGUCUUCAGUUUGGGGCUUUGAGGAAUGGCGCUGUCAUGAGCACAGUGGUACAAGUCUUUUGGGGACAUAUGCACCUGGUGCCCAGUUCUGCCCCUGGGAGGGGGAUUCAGUAGUUCUUGAGCCUUUUUCCAAGCCUCCCCCACUCCUGACGCCCCCUUCCUCCUGUGCUUCUGCUUAACUUCCACCCAAGAUGGCGGGUGCCAAACACAGAAUACAAUUCAGGAAACCAAAUUAUAAUCCUGAAAAUGAAAAGUCCGUAAAGUUUGAUUCUGCUAUCUGAGAAGCUUUAUUUGAUUUUAACGACCAUUAGUGGAUAGCUGUUUGGCCAGUUGUCCUGAGGUGGAAUUCAGUUUGUCCUUUGCCCUGUGUUGCAGAGCCCUCCCCUGGGAUCUGAAGGUUCAAUCUGCUGUCAGCAGGAAGGGGGACUUUCCCUUCCUGCUGGGAAUGGCAGUGCCCUGAGAGGAACACCUCGUUCGUCUUCUUCCUCCUGCACGAUCUCAGAUGACUCUUCUGGCUGUUGUAAUAGCCACUGACACCCCUUACUGAGGUUAUGCUGGCCAUGUAAAAGGAUUCAGAAGGGGGCUGGCCCCGUGGCCGAGUGGUUAAGUUCGCGCGCUCCGCUGCAGGCGGCCCAGUGUUUCGUUGGUUCGAAUCCUGGGCGCGGACAUGGCACUGCUCAUCAGACCACGCUGAGGCAGCGUCCCACAUGCCACAACUAGAAGAACCCACAACAAAGAAUACACAACUAUGUACCGGGGGGCUUUGGGGAGAAAAAGGAAAAAAUAAAAUCUUUAAAAAAAAAAAAAAGGAUUCAGAAGAAUU